CUCUAUGAAUUUGCCUAUUCUAGAUACUUCUUGUGCCUUUUUCCAUAAUUUUUUCUUAUAACCAGCCCUUCUCAUCCAAAGGCCACAAUGAAGUCGAAGAAACCUAUAGAUGACAGCUUUCACAAUCCUUCUCUUGCCUUUUCCUGUACUGACGUAUGUUAGAGAUCUGGCUGGCAGCUUCAAGACACUUGGAAGCAAGAGGGCCACUCUAUUAAGGAUCGCUGAAGUAUGCCCACAUGUCAGGUUUCUCUCAGAUGUGGUAUCAAAACAUCAUUAUGGGCCGGGCACGGUGGCUUACGCCUGUAAUCCCAGCACUUUGGGAGGCUGAGGCAGGCAUAUGAAGAGGUCAAGAGAUCGAGAUCAUCCCGGCCAACAUGAAAUAACAAGAAAGUUAGAAAGUCUUCUGCCUCCCAUCAGAAAAUGAGCUCAAGUGUUGUAUCCAUUGAAAAUGACAUCUGAUGCUAAUCAUCUCUGAGUGAACCCUACAUCUUACAGUAAAUUGCAUAUUGCAAUAAAA